rnacentral:rRNA from 1 species
UUAGUGGCGGACGUGUGAGUAACGCGUGGAUAACCUGCCGUAUACCGGGGGAUAACACUUAGAAAUAGGUGCUAAUACCGCAUAAGCGCACGGCUCCGCAUGGGGCAGUGUGAAAAACUCCGGUGGUAUACGAUGGAUCCGCGUCUGAUUAGCUAGUUGGCGGGGUAACGGCCCACCAAGGCAGCGAUCAGUAGCCGGCCUGAGAGGGUGGACGGCCACAUUGGGACUGAGACACGGCCCAAACUCCUACGGGAGGCAGCAGUGGGGAAUAUUGCACAAUGGGGGAAACCCUGAUGCAGCGACGCCGCGUGAGUGAAGAAGUAUCUCGGUACGUAAAGCUCUAUCAGCAGGGAAGAAAAUGACGGUACCUGACCAAGAAGCCCCGGCUAACUACGUGCCAGCAGCCGCGGUAAUACGUAGGGGGCAAGCGUUAUCCGGAAUUACUGGGUGCAAAGGGAGCGUAGACGGUAAUGCAAGUCUGGAGUGAAAGGCGGGGGCCCAACCCCCGGACUGCUCUGGAAACUGUGUAACUGGAGUGCAGGAGAGGCAGGCGGAAUUCCUAGUGUAGCGGUGAAAUGCGUAGAUAUUAGGAGGAACACCAGUGGCGAAGGCGGCCUGCUGGACUAUAACUGACGUUGAGGCUCGAAAGCGUGGGGAGCAAACAGGAUUAGAUACCCUGGUAGUCCACGCCGUAAACGAUGAUUACUAGGUGUGGGCGGGUAUGGACCCAUCGGUGCCGCAGCAAACGCAGUAAGUAAUCCACCUGGGGAGUACGUUCGCAAGAAUGAAACUCAAAGGAAUUG